GGUAUUAAGAAUGUGCAUGCCACUAAUUUCCUUAUGGUCCUGGAGAACCCUUUGUGGUGGAACAAGUUAUUGUUCAUCCUCCUCAGAAAAUGGAGGUUCGGAUCAAGAUCCGAUUCUCUACACUUCAAUAUGUCAUACCGAUCUAGCAUGUUGGAAAGCUGAGAAUGAUGCUCAGCGCGCUUUUCCUUGGAUUUUGGCCAUGAAGCUUCCGGGUAGGAUAUUAUGACUGAUGACAUCAUCUACAUUCGGGUACAUGAUCAAGGAGAAGAAUACGAGGUCAACGCAGACGAUGGAGAAGAGGACGAAUUCGAUGAUUAGGAAAUUACCUCAGAAGAGGAGGAUGAUGAAUUCGCAUAGGAAGAAG